rnacentral:rRNA from 1 species
AAUAAAGACUUCGGUUGGUCGGAGAUGGGUGUGCGUACUAUUAGGUAGUUGGUGCGGUAAAGGCGCACCAAGCCGACGAUAGUUAGGGGGCGUGAGAGCGUGGUCCCCCACACGGGUACUGAGACACGGACCCGACUCCUACGGGAGGCAGCAGUAAGGAGUAUUGGACAAUGGGCGCAAGCCUGAUCCAGCUAUCCCGCGUGCAGGAUGCCAGUCCUAUGGAUUGUAAACUGCUUUUAUUAGAGACGAAACUCCCCGAUUGAUCGGGGACUGACGGUAUCUUAUGAAUAAGCACCGGCUAAUUCCGUGCCAGCAGCCGCGGUAAUACGGAAGGUGCAAGCGUUAUCCGGAAUCACUGGGUUUAAAGGGUGCGUAGGCGGCUCGAUCAGUCAGGAGUGAAAGCUCGCGGCUUAACCGCGGAAUUGCUUUUGAUACUGUCGGGCUUGAAUCAGGUUGAGGUUGGCGGAAUGUGACAUGUAGCGGUGAAAUGCAUAGAUAUGUCAUAGAACACCGAUUGCGAAGGCAGCUGGCUGGACCUUGAUUGACGCUGAGGCACGAAAGCGUGGGGAGCGAACAGGAUUAGAUACCCUGGUAGUCCACGCCCUAAACGAUGCUUACUUGCUGUUUGGGACUUUGGUUUUGAGCGGCAAAGGGAA